AAUAGAUACCCUGGUAGUCCACGCCGUAAACGAUGAGUGCUAAGUGUUAGGGGGUUUCCGCCCCUUAGUGCUGCAGCUAACGCAUUAAGCACUCCGCCUGGGGAGUACGGUCGCAAGACUGAAACUCAAAGGAAUUGACGGGGGCCCGCACAAGCGGUGGAGCAUGUGGUUUAAUUCGAAGCAACGCGAAGAACCUUACCAGGUCUUGACAUCCCGCUGACCGCUAUGGAGACAUAGCUUUCCCUUCGGGGACAGCGGUGACAGGUGGUGCAUGGUCGUCGUCAGCUCGUGUCGUGAGAUGUUGGGUUAAGUCCCGCAACGAGCGCAACCCUUGUUCUUAGUUGCCAUCAUUAAGUUGGGCACUCUAAGGAGACUGCCGGUGAUAAACCGGAGGAAGGUGGGGAUGACGUCAAAUCAUCAUGCCCCUUAUGACCUGGGCUACACACGUGCUACAAUGGACGGUACAAACGGUUGCGAAGUCGCGAGACGGAGCCAAUCCGGAGAAAACCGUUCUCAGUUCGGAUUGUAGG
rnacentral:rRNA from 1 species